UGAACCGAAUCAGAUCAUUUGGCUGGAACUGGUUCAGUUGAAAUGUUGAAAUGUCGAAAUUACCCUUGGUAAAACUCAAAUAUUACAAACCUAAUUUCAUCCUUUUUCAGUCACCGUCUCUCACCUCACCGUCGCUCUCUCGCCAUCUCUCUCGCCACCAUGAAAGGAGCUUGAAGCUCUCACCUCACCGUCGCAAACUCUCACCUCACCGUUGAUCUCUCGCCGUCUCUCUCUCGUCAUCUCUCUCGCCGUCUCUAUCUCUCGCCAUCUCUCUCGCCGUCUUUCUCGCCGUCUUUCUCGCCGUCUCUCUCGCCGGCUCGUCAUCUCUCUCACCGGAAGCUAUUGAUCUUCAAGAGUGUUCUAACGCAAAGCUUGAGAAGGUUUUUUCUCUUCUUGGGUUGUCUUGAUAGUAAGGGAGCAGAUGAGUGAAGAGGGUGAAUCUUAAGUUAUUGGUGUAGCAAUUUAAACGUAUUGGUUGGAGUGUGGAAGUUCUUGUGUGUGGUCCAAAGACAUGAGACGAUGAAAACGUAUAACAUUGUUUUCACAUGCUGUGAAAGUUACUUGGAUCGCAAGUCAAUAGUUUGGGUCUGUAAUGAGUACAUUAACCUAUUUUUUUCUAUUUUGAGUUGUGUUUCUACUUUGAAUUGUGUUUCUACUUUGAUUUUUAUUAUAAGCUAUAAAUUUUAAUGCAA